CAGUAGCCACGGGAAUACAGAGGGUGCGAGCGUUAAUCGGAUUUACUGGGCGUAAAGCGUGCGUAGGCGGCUUCUUAAGUCGGAUGUGAAAUCCCUGAGCUUAACUUAGGAAUUGCAUUCGAUACUGGGAAGCUAGAGUAUGGGAGAGGAUGGUAGAAUUCCAGGUGUAGCGGUGAAAUGCGUAGAGAUCUGGAGGAAUACCGAUGGCGAAGGCAGCCAUCUGGCCUAAUACUGACGCUGAGGUACGAAAGCAUGGGGAGCAAACAGGAUUAGAUACCCGAGUAGUCCCUGUCUCUUAUAC
rnacentral:rRNA from 1 species